GGCGCACGUACAAAGGCCGGGGUGCGGGGCGGGCUGCCCGGUGCGGGGCUGCAGCGAGCCGAGGCUUCUGCGGCCCCGGUCCCCGGCGAGUGCACGGUCUGCAGAGGAGGAGCUGGAGGAGGCCAGGGCGGAGUGCGGAGCCGGCGCUUGCCCUGGUGUCUGUGCCCACCCAAGAACGCCUCCUGGGAACACGCUCUCUAGGUGUUGGAGGCCACAAAGAAAACAAUCGGGUCGGAACAGAAUGAGGUUUAAUUCUCAUUCUGGAAAACCUAGCAGCGAGCACAAGAAAAGUAUAGUUUGGAGAGAAUUCAAACAGGCCGAAAUGAUUAACGUUGUAACCAGGCGGUUUUUAAGGCACUAGAGCUUUUCUAAAAUAAAUCUGUUUCGCCACUGUAAAAGACUGCUUACACGCUACAAGAAUCCACACCUAAUGCAGGCUCUUGAAAGUAGGUCAAGGAAAAAGAACACUAUUAAGGAUGCUAAAUUACCUAAAGUGAAAAUUCUUCCUGGCUUUUGGCUCAAGCCGAACAGCAGCAUGCGGCAAGCUGAAGCCCUGGGUCUCCUGGUCCAUUCCAGCAUGGGCUACAUUGUAAUACUCUGUCUCAAAAAAUAAUUUCUGUUGUGGACAGUUGGCUUGUCCGGAAAGUUAUACAAUAAAAUCAAAUGUGGCACAAG